CGUUUUUUUUUUCCAGUGGUCGAUUGCUACGUACGCUCCGAUAUCUGCGAUGGCUGUGUCAAUGGCGGCGAAAAUGUCUCAGCUUGCUUGUUUCUCCUCGGCGAACCGCCAAUUCCACUUGCAGAGCAGGUCAUUUGUGUGCCCUAGGCUUCGUAACCAGUCUUUUGUGGUUAGGAGCAUUGACGGGAAUAGCUCCAGAACUGCGGGUUCUGAGAACAGAACUUCUCUAAGUUAUACAGCUGAGGUCUCAGAUCCUUUUGGUGAAAAGACGACGGAACCGUUUUCUACUUUGGAUGAGAAUGUUACCAGUAAAAGAGAUACAGUCGUGUCUGCAGAGCAACAUGUAGUUACAGAACAGAAAAGGGCUGCAAAGAUCCACGACUUCUGCUUUGGCAUUCCUUAUGGUGGUGUCAUUUUGGGUGGAGGUCUUCUUGGCUCCAUAUUGUCACGAAACCUCACAACUUUAAGUGCGGGUGUGCUCUAUGGUGGUGUCCUUCUGGCUCUUAGCACAAUAAGUUUAAAGAUCUGGCGUCAAGGAAAAUCUAGUUUUCCGUUCAUACUAGGACAAGCAGUGGUUUCAGCUGUCCUCUUCUGGAAGAACUUCAAGGCUUAUUCCAUGACGAAGAAGCUGAUACCAACUGGGUUGUAUGCUGCCAUCAGUGCUGCGAUGCUGUGCUUCUAUUCAUAUGUGGUGCUCUCUGGAGGAAAUCCACCUCCGAAGAAGUUAAAGUCAUCUACUAGUCCUUCAUACUGAAGAAAUUCACAUAGCGAAUCCAAAUUCUAUGCUGGGCAUCCUCCCUUGUCAUCUACCGGAUGGAAGCUCCAUUGCUGCUACAAGUUACCAUCUUUUGAAUUUACUGCAGGUUCCAUCCACGUGGCGCGAGCCGAAGCAGCUGAAAGAGGGGGGGUCCCUUACCACAUAUGGCUCCCGCCUAUGUUUUUACAAAAGUGGUGCCACUUUGUUGAGACAUGAAAUUCUGCCAUUAGACUAAAUGCUCGGUCUUGUUCUUCCUAACCUUGUCUGCUCAGUUUCCAGGACUUUUAGGCGUCUUUUCACGUUAUCUGAAGUCUUUUCAAUGCCUUGUUAGUUGCUUUCCAU